ensembl:lncRNA
CCCCCAUUGGCUGGUCCUCACAACGUUCUCUGAGCCGUUGAGAUCAGACACUUGAGUAUCAGAUGGCUCCUUCCCUGAUACAAUGGAGGGAUGUCCUCUGAACACAUGAAGGAUGAACACACGAAGGAUGAACACAUGAAGGAGGGUUUAUAGCGUGCUGACCUCACCUCUGAAUACAUGAAGGAUGAACACAUGAAGGAGGGUUUAUAGCGUGCUCCCCUCACCUCUGAAUACAUGAUGGUUGAAUACAUGAAUGUACGUGAACUUUAAUAGGGGUUAUGGGGUGCUGGCUGACUCCAAGCCCAUUAAGGUGCUGGUUUGUAUCACCAAAUGGCCACAACCUAAUGGCCUUUUUCCAAUCGCAAGUUCGGCCAUUUAAGAAAGGAAUAUAGACCCAUAAAAAUACAAUAAAUGUUCUUGUGUAAGACAUCGUCACGCACACAGAGCACGGCUGGACCUCUCAACAGCAUGAUUCAUUAUUAUUCAUUUGUUCCGAUAACUAUAGAAGUCUAAUUUAAAAGGGUAAUUGAAGUUUGGACAGAAGCUCACCGCAGGGGUUUUAGUUUGAUGAUAUUUGCCUGUAAAACAGAUUAUCAGGUUCAAAUGGGAAGGUUUCUUCAGAUUAGUCUGGGUCUGAAGACUGGACAUCGGACAAUAUUUCCCAUUUUACAUCGCUUAUAUUUGUACUGUUUUUUUGACAACAUCAUGUUGCACUUUGUGUGAAACAUUGUUCAACGUGUAAACAAAACUCAUCUCAAAUAAAUCGCCACAAUGAGCUUCUUUGAUUAGGAAGCAAAAAAUUAGGUAAAUAUUGAACUUCAAACAGAACUCACAAUCGCAGAUUUCAUUGUGAAGUGCUUGUGAAGUCCUCCUCUCUGAAAGAUGUGUCUUAAUUUGAAUACAUCACAUUUUACGGGAAACUAAUAUACAACUAAAUAGGCUACAGUAAGUGUCUAUCGUUGUGUUAUGAUUCAAGACAAUCGUCAUCAUAGAGACAUAAUCCCAGCUGCACUGGGAGGCCAGACCAAGCAGAGUCCAACCAGGCCAAUCAAAGUCCAGCCAGGCCAGUAUAGUACAGUGUCACAGGUCACUGCUGAGCCAAUCAGAGUCCAGCCAGGCCAGUAAUGUACAGUGUAACAGGUCAGUGCUGAGCCAAUCAGAGUCCAGCCAGGCCAGUAUAGUACAGUGUAACAGGUCAGUGCUGAGCCAAUCAGAGUCCAGCCAGGCCAGUAUAGUAUAGUGGAAAUAGGUCAUUUUUCUGCACCCAAGAUCCCCUGCUCCUUACUGGCAUGUAUUUACACAAUGUAUAUUUUAGGUAUUGGUUAAUACACGAUGAGUAUUUAGUAUGAAGUCCCCUGAAUAUCAUUAUUAGUCAGAUUUAAGUCCCCUGAAUUUCAUUAUUAGUCAGAUUUAAGUCCCCUGAAUUUCAUUAAUUAGUUAGUUAGUUUUAAGUCCUGUGAAUAUCAUUAUUAGUUUGUUAGUUUUAAGUACCCUGAAUAACAUUAUUGGUUAGUUUGUGGUUCCUCUGCUCUCUGUUCCCUAGCCUGUCCACCCCCUCCCCUCCCUCAGACUAAGGGUAUUACUACUAUCCCGGGAAACAGUUUGACCGAGCUGUGGUGAAUCUGUGUAUCAUCAGAACAAACAUCUUAAACUCGUAUUUGAACAGCGAGGCGGUCCACAGCUACAGGCCCGAAGGGCCCGUGUUUUUCAGCUGUUAACGUUUUCUUCUUCAAAUAUUAGCAUAUUUGACACUCUUCUUUCAUGUGUUAAUUGAAAACGAUCCCUCACUGCCGAUUUAUUCACUAUUAGCGCCUGCUAAUGGGUAGCUCUCCGCAUGUCUGCAGGGAAAACCAACAGCUGAAGCUUUUUAAUACUCAUCUCAAAAACACCAACCUGUACGAAAUAAAAUAAAUGUUUAAACAGCAGAGUAAUCGGGCAGUGACUACUCUCAGAAUACACGUGUCUGUAGAUGGGGAAACGAUCCCACACACACAUGCACGCACGGACACGCACACACACACCUGAUCCAGGUGAGGUCCAUGGUAGUGGUAGUUGUUUGGUAGGUGGUGUUGUCGCCGGUCCUUCAAACCCAGCCCCUGGGAGAUGGGUAUGGAAGGGUUGGAUGUUCAUCGUUGUACGGCCCGAGCAUGAUGACCUGGGUUCCCCUGGCAACGGGGCACCCUGCUCACAGGGGCCCUGGAGGCUGUGAUGUGAAACCAUCCCAGUCCCAUGAACCCAGGCUUGUUGCCCUGAGUCAGCAGCCUGGGCUAAUUAAGUGCAAUGUGUGCAUGCAUGAGCGCGUGUGUUGGUGUGUGGGUGUUUGUGUAAUUACGGUUUGUGUGCGUAUGUGUGUGUGUGUGUGUGUUUAUUGCCAUGCAGGCAUUUGUGUGUGUGUGUGUGUGUGUGUGUGUGUGUGUGUGACAUUAUUGCCACAUCAGCCUAACAGUACCAUUAGGCAAAGCUGUCCGUUUGCUAACUGCUAGCCGCUAACUGCUAGAUGCUAACCGCUAGCCGCUAACCACUAGUUCUGCCCUGAAUCCCUGAUGGAGGCUCAUUUUCCUCUGGUCUCGCAGUGAUGGGGUUUCAUUAAAUCACUGUUCCAUUUUUUCACACCAAAAAGACACGACAAGAGACACCCUUUUCCUGUUGUUUUUUACGCGCUACAAACAAUAAGAGCGAUUUGUUUGCAACGGUAUGAGUUGUAUCCUCAGAUAACGGAACGCGGAGCAGCUGCCAAGAAAUAGUACUGGGGAGGAGAAAACAAUAAAGACUGAGCAGGAAAAACAUGGCUGCCAAGAUAGAGAAACAAAGUGACUGGAGACGGAAGAGAUAGACAGAGGGAGAUGAAUAGAGAGAGAUGACGAGAAAGAGGUAGAGAGAGAGAUGAAUAGAGAUGACGAGAAAGAGAGAGAGAUGAAUAGAGAGACAUGACGAGAAAGAGAGAGAGGGAGGGAGAGAGAAAAAAUGUUGAUAACUACACCAAUUAAUGAAAAGCUCAGAGAGAGAGAGAGAGGUUGUGGAGAGUUAACUGAUGCAUUUAGCGCAGCCAUUGUGUGCAUCCGAGCGAGUGUGUGUGCUUGCGUGUGUGUGCUCGCGUGUGUGUCUGCAUGCCGUGGUGUGGAAGUGACCUCGUCGAGAUUGAAGCGAGACGAGGAGGAGAGACGGGCCAGAGUACUUUUGAACGGAGCUCCUGGGAUGGAGAUGAAUGAAGAGUGGAGGAGAGCGACACUGCUGGGAGUCAGGAGGCAAGAGGGCCUGGAGAGACACACGACAAAGAGGUUCAGAAGGAGGGAGAGAGAGAG